rnacentral:rRNA from 1 species
GGAAGGUGCAAGCGUUAAUCGGAAUUACUGGGCGUAAAGCGCGCGUAGGCGGCUAGAUAAGUCGGGUGUGAAAGCCCUGGGCUCAACCUGGGAACUGCAUUCGAUACUGUCUAGCUAGAGUGUGGUAGAGGGAGGCGGAAUUCCGCAUGUAGCGGUGAAAUGCGUAGAGAUGCGGAGGAACACCAAUGGCGAAGGCAGCCUUCUGGACCAACACUGACGCUGAGGCGCGAAAGCGUGGGGGGGAGCAAACAGGAUUAGAUACCCUGGUAGUCCACGCCGUAAACGAUGUCAACUAGCCGUUGGGAGCAUUUUGGCUCUUGGUGGCGCAGCUAACGCGAUAAGUUGACCCGCCUGGGGAGUACGGUCGCAAGAUUA